rnacentral:rRNA from 1 species
UACGUAGGGCGCAAGCGUUGUCCGGAAUUAUUGGGCGUAAAGAGCUCGUAGGCGGCCAGUUGCGUCCGCUGUGAAAUCCCGGGGCUUAACCCCGGGCGUGCAGUGGAUACGGGCUGGCUGGAGGCAGGCAGGGGAGAACGGAAUUCCUGGUGUAGCGGUGAAAUGCGCAGAUAUCAGGAGGAACACCAGAGGCGAAGGCGGCUUCCUGGACAAUUGCUGACGCUCAGGCACGAAAGCGUGGGGAGCAAAAGGG